CAUGCUCAGUUGUCACAAAACGAUUAUCUGGCCAACGGUUCCGGCUCCAAGUCUCGAUGAAUUGGAAAAUUGGUUGGGCAAAAACCUGCAUUUACCAAUAUCAUUAGCCAAUCAUUUUGGAGGUGCUUGUACUUUAAGGACCUGGUUGCUGGUCUGCAUGAAGGUGCCCAUGUGUCAACAGCAAGAACAGAACCUGUGUGCUAGUUGGUGGAUGAGCAUCAAGCCACACCUAGUGGACCAGGUCAGGACAAUCUCUAAUGAUGUUCAUCAUUCAAUUGGAUUUGUCUUGAUUGGCAGAAGAGGUGAAUCCACAUGUCAGGUUGAGGUCAGAGAGCUUGUUUUGCAUGAUGUGGUUUGAAGGUUCCUACCCAGUGCAACCACAUCUGACACUCAUCACAGUGUCAGAGGACAUGGUUGGUGUACCAAAACCACGCCCUUGAAAUGUCAAAGGUUUCUUUACCACAGCUAGUCAAUGGUGGGCUCACAGUGCAGAUCAUGUUUGAUCCUAUCGCUGUAGGCAAACUGUGAUGAUGCUGUUUGCAAGGUUGUCACUCGAGUCUAUGAUUCCAAAUUAUUGUAUGAUAUCAAUAUGUUAACCCUACAGGCAAAAGAUAACAGAUGCUUGUGUCUCGGAAUUCAUCAUGCAGCUUCAUCAAGGAAUCAAAGCUCCCAGCUUUAGGUGUUUACCUGGAAAGCACCGAUGAGAUGGACGACGAUGCAUAUAUUCCCGAUGUCGACGAGCCAAAAUGGAUCGUAGAAGCCGAAUCCUGUCAAGAAGUUGCCGGGCGCAGUGUUCCCAAACGCAGCAUAUCCCAGCACACCACACAGCAUGUAGAAGGUGGUGGUGGUGAGGACCCCAAUGGUGGUGGCCUUCUUCAUCACCUGGUUUUCCGGUGGACUCGAUCUCAGAGUAUCCUGUCAACCAUUCAUCAGAAUUCAGCAUCAUCAUAUCAAUGAUGACAAAGCUUGUCAGUGAGGAGGAGCACCGAAGUGCAUACCUGGAUCUCGAUGAGAACGUUGGAGUAAGCAUACGCAAAGGCGAUGUCCCCGAGAGCCUGAAACGUUCGCCAGACCUUCUCGCUCCCCGAGACAUCCACCCCCACCGUGACUCCUGUCAGGCUGGUCCUCGCAUGAGGCCCUUCUGCGUUGCGGGAACAUGGAUGCAUGUGAGGCAUGGAGACGAGGAGAAGAGAGUGGGCUAAUUUUGGAGGACCCACCUGCUAUUUUGGCAAUGGAGAGGCCGAGGCCGAUACUGGAGUAGGCGACGGACAUGAUGGCCGCCACAAUGGAGAGCCACCAGAUCUUGUGGAAAUUAGGGAUCUGAGACAGAACAAUCUGUAUGCACGCGAAGAUGGUCAUGUUGGUGGUGUUGGACUCCCCGCACGCGGCGUCGUGGCCGUUCCUGUGGAAGCAGUUCGACCUUUUCACGGCCCUGAACACAUGCAGGUAUCGGAGGUGAGAAGGAAUCCUGCAGUGGAUUCACAUGGAGAUGUACGACCGGGAAAAGCUAAGCUUAUCACCCCAUGCUGAUGGCCGUCGUGAUGGUAUAGCCAAUGGUGACUCCUACAAGAUUCACGUACUGAGCCAGUGCGCACAGUUUGGAGCUCACACCCCCUGAAAGAGAAGCAGAGAUGAAGCAAGAUGGCAAGUGUGCCGAAACGGAUGACCCACUUGUGAUCCGUGUCUACCUAGGUGCGUCCUCACAGCAUCUUUGUAUCUGUAGUUUCUCUUGCCCUGAGGAGAUCGAUAGCAGUCCGCAAGGAGGCUGGAGCAGAACCAGGUGAUGAGAGAGAAGAUCAAGAGAACUGUCGGACCAGCGAUCCACCCUAACUGAGCCAAGGCCCAGGCGAGCGAGAGCACCCCGGAGCCGAUGACGGCGGUAAUGAUGUGAGCACUCGCAGUCACCAGCGUCCCUGCAGCCACCCAUCGAUCCAUGUCAAGAUAAGAGCUGCUGCUGCAACGAAGAAGAGAGUGUUGGAGACCAACCUGUACGCUUGACGCGGCCGUCGUCGUCGAAGUCGUCCCGUGCCCGACUGCGGCCGCUGGUUAUCUCGAAGGAGGCUUCCUCCAUGGGGACAGACUUUCCCUGCACCUCACUCGCCAUGACCAUACGCUCUCUCUCUCUCUCUCUCUCUCCGUGUGUCUUUAUAUCCUAGCCUUGGUCAGAGACAGUGCAUGUAUCGGCGACCUGCUGCCUUCCUCAGUAAAAUAAAUGAGGAAGAAGACAAGCCGACCUCCUUUAGAUCAUUCACAUGAGAGUUAGAAUAAGAGGAUCUUCCACAAGGAAUUACUCGACCACACGUUCUUACCUCCUCCGUCCACCUUCUUGUCGUCUCCUUGUGUGAGGUACAUUUUGGAGUCCAAGCUGGUCUUCCUGACUUGGACCGAGACCUGCUCUAAGUUGUAUUCUUCUCAGGCAGAUUGAGCUUCGGUUCGAGGAAUAAGGUCAAUCAAACAACUUUGACUAGUACCAAUACACCUCGAGAAGGUAGCAACCCUAAGGAUACUACUAUAUGUUGUAUUAAAUGGGUUUUAGUUUGGGUGCAUGCAUGAAUUGUGGAGACUAAAUUAGAAGAGAUUUGAUGGAAACAAAGUUUACAUUUACCUCUUCCA